UAGGUCAACGUUCCUCACGAACCACGGA
rnacentral:piRNA from 1 species